GUGCUCGCUUUUGCAGCACAUAUACUAAAACUGGAAUGAUACAGUGAAGAUUAGCAUGGCUCUUCAACAAGGAUGAUAUGCAAAUUUGUGAAGCGUUCUACAUUUGG